rnacentral:rRNA from 1 species
UACGCCCGAUCUCGUCCGAUCUCGGAAACUGAGCAGGGUCGGGCCUGAUUAGUACUUGCAUGGGAGACUGCCUGGGAAUGCCAGGUGCUGUAAGCUUGCUUACGGCCAUACCAGCCUG